GUUGUUGUUGUUACCGGUGUUGUGCCGAGAAACGCAUGCCCACCGAAAAUUGUAUGCACCUCGCAAAAACACACACUGCUUAUAGUAGAGUGGUCCACGGAAAUGUACAAUAUAAUUCCCAUACAAUUCUAAUUUGUGGGGCUAAACACUAAUGAGUGAUGUUCCGAAAGUAAUUCUCGGCGGGCAUACAUUUCUCGGCACAACACCGGCAGUGCCAGCGAC